rnacentral:tRNA from 1 species
AAAACAGUAAUUUAUAGAGAAUAUAUGAUUUGCACUCAUAAAGUGUUUAAUACCUGUUUUA